GACGAACGCUGGCGGCGUGCUUAACACAUGCAAGUCGAACGGUAAGGCCCUUCGGGGUACGACGAGUGGCGAACGGGUGGAGUAACAACGUGGGUGGAUCUGCCCUGCACUUCGGGAUAAGCUUGGGAAACUGGGUCUAAUACCGGAUAGGACCACGGUCUGCAUGGAUUGUGGUGGAAAGCUUUUGUCGGUGUGGGAUGGGCCCGCGGCCUAUCAGCUUGUUGGUGGGGUGAUGGCCUACCAAGGCGACGACGGGUAGCCGGCCUGAGAGGGUGUCCGGCCACACUGGGACUGAGAUACGGCCCAGACUCCUACGGGAGGCAGCAGUGGGGAAUAUUGCACAAUGGGCGCAAGCCUGAUGCAGCGACGCCGCGUGGGGGAGUGACGGGCCUUCGGGUUGGUUAAACCGUACCUUUC
rnacentral:rRNA from 1 species